AUAAAAUUAUGCUAUUAAAACUGUAAUUUUUACAAGGGAAUCUGUAUUUAUGGCCUCUGUAUUUAUGGCCUCCUCCCUCCUCCUCCUCCUCCUCCUUCCCCUCCUCCCUCCUCCUCCUUCCUCUCCUCCUCCUCCUCCUCCUCCUCCUCCUUCCUCCUCCUCCCACUUCUAGUAUAUCCUCGGGGCAAAGGAACAGUUUUAAUUCCUUAUUUUGAGCAUCCAAUUUGGAUCAUCCACUGCUGAGAUGCUUGCAUAAAAACUGUGUUUAUGUGUCUGUGUGUGUUUAAAUCCUUUUGUUGGGAUAAUGCCAUUAUUAAAGGAAAAGGAAUGAUUAAGCCAAGAACCACUGAUCGAUGGUAAGGCAGACAAAUCUCAGGACUAAGUAUCUUGGUUUUUCUUUUCCUAGCUUCCACUGAAGGAUCCUUUGAAAGAAGAGUUUCACCUUGAAGGAUGCUUCAAACCAACAUGGGGAUAUUUUGGACAACCUUAUGCUUCCUGGUAUAUGGUUUGAACACAGACCUGGGUGUCCUGGCUAUCGCGAGCUCCCAGCCCCAGGAGGACUCAGAAGGCCUUGACAGUCCUUCAGAAGACACCAUAUCUCCAGAGAUGCUACAGGAGAUGCUGUGGUUUUUCCGAAGAGAAGACCCAUCUGCAUGGAAUUAUUCUAUCCUGGUCCUUUCCGUUCUCGUUCUGCUCAUUGGUGUUGUGCUCCUGGGAGCAAAUAUUAGGGCCAACAGAAACCAGAAGGCCUUUCUCUUACGCAAAGAAGGCUAUGAAGUCACCCCGCUGGAUGAGGCAGAAGCGAAGCAAGCGUUUGUGUUGCUAAACAAAGAGAAUCCGGAUCAAGUUGGAGACAAUUUGCUUUCCAAAACACUGACCACGGGAGACGUGAUGGUUGAACAAUUCUGUGGUUUUGUUUUUCCAACCCUCCUUCUGUGGUUGAUGGAAGAGAACUUAAAGUAGACAUUAAGAAAAGAAUGUUGGUGAAAUGGUGACGUGGAGUGUGGUUUUUCUUAACCACUUAGGGACAUGCAAAACAUGGGGUGGGUAUGAAUGUCUGAAUUUCCAAAUGUCCAGAAUUCCAAAGCACCCGAAACAACAGAUGGAAGCUGAUCAAAGAGAGAUCCAACCUGGAACUAAGGAUAUUUUUCCUGACAGUGAGAACAAUUAACCAGUGGAACGACUUGACUCCAGAAGUUGUGGCUGCUCCAUCACUGGAGGCUUUUAAGAAGAGACUGGACAGCCACCU
rnacentral:lncRNA from 1 species